AGCAUGGCAUAGUGGUUUGAGUGUUGGACUACAACUCUGAGGACUAGGGUUCAAUUCCCAGCUCAGCUA
rnacentral:tRNA from 1 species